GUGUCAGCCGCCGCGGUAAUACGUAGGGCGCAAGCGUUGUCCGGAAUUAUUGGGCGUAAAGAGCUCGUAGGCGGUUUGUCGCGUCUGUCGUGAAAGCUUGGGGCUUAACCCUAAGUCUGCGGUGGAUACGGGCAGACUAGAGGCAGGUAGGGGAGAACGGAAUUCCCGGUGUAGCGGUGAAAUGCGCAGAUAUCGGGAGGAACACCGGUGGCGAAGGCGGUUCUCUGGGCCUGUACUGACGCUGAGGAGCGAAAGCGUGGGGAGCGAACAGGAUUAGAUACCCUCGUAGUCC
rnacentral:rRNA from 1 species